rnacentral:snRNA from 1 species
ACACUCAUGUUUCUCUUCAGAUCGUAUAAAUCUUUCCGCCUUUUACUAAAGAUUUCCGUGGGGAGGAACACA